GCAGACACAUUCCAGCCAAUCAGCAGCAGACCCUCCCUCCCAGACCCUCCCACUUCCUGGACAGCAUCCAUUUUGAAGCUGCAUUCUUAGUGAGCUGUCCAGGAGGUGGGAGGGUCUGGGAGGGAGAGUCUGCUGCUGAUUGGCUGGAAUGUGUCUG
rnacentral:miRNA from 1 species